rnacentral:lncRNA from 1 species
GUCGGAGUCUUUAUUUUAACAAUACUAGCUGAAUUUACUACGAUUUGUGGUACACAUGUCUCACAAAUGCUUAUGUCAUCUAUAUUUUACCCAGUCAGUCCUAAAAGUCAUCUUAAUCGAUAUCGGGUAAGACAAUACAAUAUAAAAAAGCAAGAUAUUGGAGGUUCAUCAUUUAUUGUGUGUUCGUCUGCAAGAACGGAACAAGAAGGAAGAUGCCUAACUACUACAGGCUUUUCAUGUUGAUACUCCUUGCCACAUCAUAUGCUGAUGCUAAAAAGG